UCCCUGGUGGACUAGUGGCUAGCAUGCAUCACUCUCACCGCCGCAGCUUGGGUUUGAUUCCCAGUUAGGGAA